rnacentral:lncRNA from 1 species
AAAAAAGAGAAGAAGAAUAAGAAGAAGAAAAAGGAAGAAAAAACAGAGCAACACAGACUCUGUUAUGUACUUAUGUUGCAGCAGCAGCGAUAAAAAGAGCCCAAAACAAAAAGAAAGAAGAAGAGAUGAAGAAGAAGAAGAAGAAAAAAUAGAGUAACACAGUGUUGCUCUGUUCUGUUGCAGCAGCAGCGAUUAAAAACAGAGCCCAAAACAAAAAGAAAGAAGAGAGAAGAGAGAAGAAAGAAGGAAAAAAAAUUGGACAGAGUCACAGAACAGAAACUCGAAGAAAGAAGAAAGGAGAAGAAGAAAGAAUAAAAGAGAUGAAGGGAAGCAUACCUGAUGAAGAAAGAAGAAAGAAAAUCGCUGGUCUGCGGUAGGUUUGCCAUCGACUUGAAGGAGAAAGAGUAGAGAAAUCGCGAGCUCCUUGCGGUAGGUUUGCUGUCGACUUGAAGGAGAAAGAGUACAGAAAUCGCGAGCCCU